AAUGAACGCUGGCGGAAUGCUUUACACAUGCAAGUCGAACGGUAGAGGGGGCAACCCCUCGAGAGUGGCGAACGGGUGAGUAAUAUAUCGGAACGUGCCCAGUCGUGGGGGAUAACGUAGCGAAAGUUACGCUAAUACCGCAUACGAUCUAAGGAUGAAAGCGGGGGAUCGCAAGACCUCGCGCGAUUGGAGCGGCCGAUAUCAGAAUAGGUAGUUGGUGGGGUAAAGGCUCACCAAGCCAACGAUCUGUAGCUGGUCUGAGAGGACGACCAGCAACCCGGGAACUGAGCCACGGUCCAGACUCCUACGGGAGUGAGCAGUGGGGAAUUUUGGACAAGGGCCGCAAGUCUGAUCCAGCCAUUCCGCGUGCAGGAUGAAGGCCCUCGGGUUGUAAACUGCUUUUGUACGGAACGAAAAGGUCUCUCUUAAUACGGGGGGCUCAUGAUGGUACCGUAAGAAUAAGCACCGGCUAACUACGUGCCAGCCGCCGCCGUAA
rnacentral:rRNA from 1 species